UGGAUAUAUUAAGAAUGAUGGAGAGGCCUAAUAAGCUUUGGAUUUGCUUUGUUUUCCACUGAAAUGUUUUAAGCAACUUAUUGUUGUGGUCAGCUGUUGUGUUAAAGGUCAUCCUACUAAAUACUGAAUGAAUUAAUGGGGAGACAAAAAUGCAUGUGGGAAGAAUAGUGCCUUAGUCUGCUCAUUCUGCCAUAACAGAAUUCCAUGAACUGGGUGGCUUAAACAGCAGAAAUUUAUUUUCUAAUACUUCUGAAGGCUGGAAGUCUGAGGUCAGAGUGCUGGCAUGGUUGACUUCUGGUGAGGGCUCACUUCCUGGCCUGCAGACUGCUGCCUUCUUACUAUGUCCUUACAUGGCAUAAAGAGAAAGAGAGAGCUUUCAGGUAUCUCUUAUAAUGGCACUAAUCCCAGUAGGAGGUCACCACCCUCAAGGCCUCAUCUCAACCUAAUUACUUCUCAAAGCCCCAUCUGCAUAUACCAUCACCAUGGGAGUGAGGGCUUCAACAUGUGAAUUUUGGGGGAGAACAAGCAUUCAGUUCAUAACCAACAGAUACGAAAUUAUUGCAUUGAGGUCAGAGAUGAAGGGAGCCUAAGUCAUGCAUUGACUGAGAGGCUGAGGAGCACUAGAGGAAUUCAAGUGUUAGUUAUGUGUGCGGUAGAGAGCACGUAGAACCAAGGUUCACCCUAGCUGGGGAAGCUCUCAAACUAGCAAUUUGCUUUUGUCUUCCUGCUCAACCAAACACUAAACUUGCUGACUUUCUUGCAGCCUAGCGUCCAACACAGUAUCACCUACAACAGUUACCCCCAGGUCAAGGAGAGACUCAAGAUCUAAAAGUGGGCACUGUGUGCAUACCCCCACAUUCCAGGACCAAGGUGCUCCAGUUGUCCAAUCUCACAACUGAUGGCUGAUGCCUGAAUACAGCUUCAGAGCUCUCCAUGAAGUUGUCUGAGGCCUCUGUUUAGACUACAUUGCAUCAUCUCAACUUCUUCCUCUGCUCAGCCCUGCUUACCUCAAGUAUGGAUCUCAAGCAUACUCCAAAGUCACCCUCCAGUAUGCUAACCUCAGUCUCAGACUUGCAACUGGUGAUCCUGGAGGAGAAGAAAUGGGCUGCCAGGUGGAGAUGCUGGUAGUGUGUGGUAAUACCCUCCCUCCAAGAGAUGAGAGGAUACCUGGAGCCCCUCCUUUUCCCCUCAGGGAGAUGAGAGGAUACCUGGAGCCCCUCCUUUUCCCCUCUGGGAGAUGAGAGGGUACCUGGAGCCCCUCCUUUCAGCCCAGUUGCUCACAUUCACUGCUCUAUGGGGAAGGAAGGACUCAACUCAUGUUUCCAGUCCUACUGUCUUCAUUGUUUUUGCUCCAGUUUCUCCUUAUAUAUGACUCAGGUUAGUACUGUCUCCUUAGGCAUGACAGGGAUUUGGGCAUACAUAUUGUGCUAAAAGAGCUUAUUUCUACCAGGGCAUGCUAUUUACUGUAUCAACACUAAUACUUUUUGAAGGUAUAGAGAGGGCUCCAAGCAGUGGAAAAUGUCACACUGUAUUUUUUCACAGAAGUGUCCAAAGAAAAAUAAGAAAAUUGUUCCUUAUUUGUUUUCUGCUAGUAGAAGUAAUUUUGUGUCUUGCCAAUUUGUGGAACCAGAUAGAGAAUUUUCCUGUCAAAGACCUCUCCUGCCAUCUCAGUGCUCUUUCCUUCUGUGUUUUCUGGGCUAAGUUCUCCUGCAAGCUCAAAGAGGAACAUUGCACAUGGCUGUGUAAAGAUGACAAACCAGGAAGGAGGGCUUCACAUAUUACAUACUUGACAUCAAAUAGGUCACGCCCCUGGUGUUAUAUCGAUCCAGUCAGCUUUCUGCUGUUUGAAGCUUUCAUUGGUUUCUUCUAAGUUUCCUCUAUUUUCACUUUUGGGCUUCAUUAGUCUUCCAUCCCUUGGUUCCUUAAGCCUCUAUAACUCUUACUUUAAAUUUUUUCUAUCCUCUAUAAACAACUUUUAUUCCACCAGUUCCUUGUUUUCUGAGAAAGUAAGGCCCUUCUGUUCUAAGCAACAGAAUUUCCUCACAUUUAGAGUUCAGAAAUGUUCUCUUCUUUCUUUCUUUCUUUCUUUCUUUCUUUCUUUCUUUCUUUCUU